rnacentral:rRNA from 1 species
GACGAACGCUGGCGGCGUGCUUAACACAUGCAAGUCGAACGGAAAGGCCCUUCGGGGUACUCGAGUGGCGAACGGGUGAGUAACACGUGGGUGAUCUGCCCUGCACUUUGGGAUAAGCCUGGGAAACUGGGUCUAAUACCGAAUAGGACCACGCGCUUCAUGGUGUGUGGUGGAAAGCUUUUGCGGUGUGGGAUGGGCCCGCGGCCUAUCAGCUUGUUGGUGGGGUAAUGGCCUACCAAGGCGACGACAGGUAGCCGGCCUGAGAGGGUGACCGGCCACACUGGGACUGAGAUACGGCCCAGACUCCUACGGGAGGCAGCAGUGGGGAAUAUUGCACAAUGGGCGCAAGCCUGAUGCAGCGACGCCGCGUGAGGGAUGACGGCCUUCGGGUUGUAAACCUCUUUCUCCAGGGACGAAGCGUAAGUGACGGUACCUGGAGAAGAAGCACCGGCCAACUACGUG